rnacentral:rRNA from 1 species
UACGUAGGCAGCGAGCGUUGUUCGGAAUUACUGGGCGUAAAGAGUGUGUAGGCGGUGCUCCAAGUCUGUUGUGAAAUCUCCCGGCUUAACUGGGAGGUGCGGCGGAAACUAGAGUGCUAGAGGGUGGGAGAGGUAAGCGGAAUUCCUGGUGUAGCGGUGAAAAUGCGUAGAUGUCAGGAGGAACACCUGUGGUGUAGACAGCUUACUGGACCACUUCUGACGCUGAGACACGAAAGCGUGGGUAGCAAACAGG